AGGACGAACGCUGGCGGCGUGCUUAACACAUGCAAGUCGAACGGAAAGGCCCUGCUUUUGUGGGGUGCUCGAGUAGCGAACGGGUGAGUAACACGUGAGUAACCUGCCCUUGACUUUGGGAUAACUUCAGGAAACUGGGGCUAAUACCGGAUAGGAGCUCCUGCUGCAUGGGUGGGGGUUGGAAAGUUUCGGCGGUUGGGGAUGGACUCGCGGCUUAUCAGCUUGUUGGUGGGUAGUGGCUUACCAAGGCUUUGACGGGUAGCCGGCCUGAGAGGGUGACCGGCCACGAGUUGGGACUGAGAUACGGCCAGACUCCGUACGGGAGCAGCGAGGUAGGGAAUAGUUGACCAGAAGUGGGCGGAAGCCGUGAGUGCAACGACCGACCGGCCGGUCGG
rnacentral:rRNA from 1 species